AUACGGAGGGUGCAAGCGUUACUCGGAAUCACUGGGCGUAAAGCGCGCGCAGGCGGCUAUUUAAGUUGGAUGUGAAAGCCUACGGCUCAACCGUAGAACUGCAUCCAAAACUAUUUAGCUAGAGUGUGGGAGAGGAAGAUGGAAUUAGUUGUGUAGGGGUAAAAUCCGUAGAGAUAACUAGGAAUACCAAAAGCGAAGGCAAUCUUCUAGAACACUACUGACGCUGAGGCGCGAAAGCGUGGGGAGCAAACAGGAUUAGAAACCCCAGUAGUCCC
rnacentral:rRNA from 1 species